GACGAACCGUGCGAACGUUGUUCGGAUUCACUGGGCGUAAAGGGCGCGUAGGCGGCCCUCCUUGUCGCGUGUGAAAGCCCCGGGCUCAACCUGGGAACGGCGCGCGAGACGGGGGGGCUGGAGUUCGGGAGAGGAGCGUGGAAUUCCUGGUGUAGCGGUGAAAUGCGCAGAUAUCGGGAAGAACACCCGUGGCGAAGGCGGCUCUCUGGGACGGUACUGACGCUGAGACGCGAAAGCGUGGGGAGCGAACAGG
rnacentral:rRNA from 1 species